rnacentral:rRNA from 1 species
GAUGAACGCUGGCGGCAUGCCUAACACAUGCAAGUCGGACGGGAAACACGGGAUACGGUGUUUCCAGUGCCGGACGGGGGAGUAACGCGUAAGAACCUGUCCCUGGGAGGGGAACAACAGCUGGAAACGGCUGCUCAUACCCCGCAGGCGGAGGGGCAAAAGGAGGAAUCCGCCCUAGGAGGGGACGCGGUCUGAUUAGCCAGGUGGGGAGGCAAUAGCUUACCAAGUCGAUGAUCAAUAGCUUGUCGGAGAGGAUGAGCAGAGAUACUGGGAGAGGAAGAUGGGCCAGACUGCGACGGGAGGCCGCAGUGGGGAACAAUGGAAGGCGGGAGUAAGGAAGAUUCAGCAAUGCGGGGAAGGUUGACAGAGCAUUGGGACGGGGAAGUAGAAGGAGCAGGGGUCGAGGACAUCUAUUUCAGGCGAAGAAGCAAUGACGGUAUCUGCAGAAUAAGCAUCGGCUAACUCUGUG